rnacentral:rRNA from 1 species
GAGAGGCCCAAACGUUAUUCGGAAUUACUGGGCUUAAAGAGUUCGUAGGCGGCGCGGAAAGUAGGGUGUGAAGGCCCUCGGCUCAACCGAGGAAUUGCGCUCUAAACUACCGUGCUCGAGGGACCUAGAGGUAAGCGGAACUGAUGGUGGAGCGGUGAAAUGCGUUGAUAUCAUCAGGAACACCGGAGGCGAAGGCGGCUUACUGGGGGUCUUCUGACGCUGAGGAACGAAAGCCAGGGGAGCGAACGGGAUUAGAUACCCCGGUAGUCCUGGCCGUAAACGAUGAGCACUAGGCCGGAGGGCUGCACAGCCUUCCGGCCGUAGCUAAAGUGUUAAGUGCUCCGCCUGGGGAGUAUGGUCGCAAGGCUG